CUUCUGCUGAUGGCUGCCAUGUAGGUAUAGAAAGCGCUUCUCAAAACGAAGGACAGAUUGAGGGCUGCUCUGGGGCACAGUCACAACUGCUCUGCAUUCUUCAGCUUUUACUAGUAUGAACUUGGAUUUAAAAGACUACUCCUGACUUUAUCACUGCCAAAUGUUUCUUUUUCUUAAUCUAGCAUUGUAAGAACUGAAAAUAGAUGGGAUGUAUGGAGGCUGUCUGGUCCAAAGCAUUUUUUAUUACACCAAGAAUAGGAAUCCCACUGCCUCUCUUGACAAUGUGUUCUAGCAUUUGAUUGCCCUAACUGUAAAGAAUUAUUUCCUUAUAUCUAGCAAGAAUUUUCCUUACUACAGUUUUGUUGGAUGCCUCUCAUUCUUUCAAGAAGGGUAUGGAUCCAUCUUCCCCACAUCUAAUCACCAGGUUGUCAAAGGAGUGAAAACUCAGAGCAAUAUAUUGUCCAGAUGGCAGCCAAGGCCCAAACUUACAUCAAGCAGAUACCUUUCCCUUGGAGAACAGAUGCAGUGUUGAGGGACACAAUGAGGAGGGGGUGAUGGUACAAAUAAUGAUGAGAUUCUUGUGAUUAAUAUCACAUUUAAAUCUACAUAAAGAACAACGCUGCACUUCAGAAAUUUCUCAUGCUCUUAAGGGAUUUGGAGCGCAAGUUGUUUGAUGAGGAACCUGGGAUGGAUUCAGUUUCGGAACGGAAAGGGUCCUUUGAGUGCAUGGCCUAAGAGGAAAUAUGUGUUCUACUCCAGCACAGUGCCACAGGUAUUCUUCCACUCUGCACAAGAUGCAGUAUAUUCAGUCACAACUGAAGCUUCCAGGAUUUUAGUGCUGUCUGCUGAAUGAAUGAGCUGCAGUUGCCACAGAAGAACAUGAAUGAGCAGUUGUAUGAGGCUCCAAACCAACACAUGAUUCUAAUCAUGAUGCUGGACUGAAGAUAGCAACGACUAUUUUGGAAUAAAAGAAAAGACCAGCUGAGAGGUGCUAGAUAUGUGGUAGAUAAUUAAUGUUCUUGCUGGAGGCUGGCCAUGUUUCCAUAAAAAGAAAACUAGACUAACACAGAUAAAAUAGAAAGGAAAAGAACAGCAGUGAUUGAAAACACAGCUUUUGGUUUUGGUCCUGAUUGUUACUGGCAACCUCAAUGCUAGAGAAAAACAGGUUCAGCAGAGUUUUAGCAGCCACUGUGAGACUUGGCAAAUAUACCAGCACUGUGCUGUUUAAGACAUCUAUUUUUGCUGCCUUUUUGGACACAGGCUCACUGCAGCAAAAAAAAAGGUUAGCUAAGAUGCUCUGUUUUUAAAUGAAAGCUAACAUCAAGGAGUGAAAAUAAGAUAGACAAC
rnacentral:lncRNA from 7 species